CUGCCCUGCGGUGACACACAGGAUAGUGACAGGCAAAUCUGUUUCAGCCUGCAGCUCUAUCUGCCGAGGACUCGCAAUAAUUUCUGUUAUCUGUCAUUUUUCUGUGCCACCUAGCUUACUUGGCUGUGUUGUUGGAAUCUCUGAGCGGAGACUGAAUGAAAGCAGUGUUUGUUUGCUGUGAUUGGAUCAGCUGUGAUUGGAUCAGUUACUCAGGGAGCCGAGCUAUGCGAAGGGCCCGAAACCCACUCCACCCUGAGUCAGAGGUGGAGCAUCCCUGGAGACCUGUUCUCAUGACUCACCAGCUGCUAUCUGCAAACAGCCUCUGGGGGAAAUGCCAAGUUUUUGGUGGCUCAGAGGUUAAAGCCUCAGCAUAAAAUGCGGGAGACCUGGGUUCAAUCCCUGGGUCAGGAAGAUCCCCUGGAGAAGAAAAUGGCAACCCACUCCAGUAUUCUUGCCUGGAGAAUCCUAUGGACGGAGGAGCCUGGUGAGCUACAGUCCACGGGGUCGCAAAGAGUUGGACACGACUGAGUGACUUCACUUCACUUGACUUAGGUUUUACAUAUUUUACUUUUUAUGCUACAUAUUUUAGAUUUUAAUAUUUAUAUAUAUGUGCAUAAAUAUUUAUAUGCUUAUUUUUAUGUUACAUCUAAGCAUAAAUAUUUAUAUGCCUAUAUCUGUGACUAUCUGGAUUAAAAAAUAAGAAUCACCUACUGUGUUUAUAUUUGCUCAUCUAGGGCUUUUAUGCAUCCCAGAUAUAAUAAAUGUUUAUUGAGCAUAUACUGUAUCACAUCACUCCUCUAGAUUUUGGGGAUCUUUCAGUGAAAAUUUAGACCAAAGUUCUUCCCUCAUGAAUUUUAUUUUCUGUUAGUUGCAGCAUUCUUGGCUUACGAUUUAGGGUAAAGAGAGUACAUUUGUGGUUUUAUACAGUAUCAAAAAUAUUAUUGUAUAGGAAGAAGAAAUAAUUGAGACUAUUUUUCCUGAGUUCUUGCUUCAUCUGUUCUUGUAUAAAUUACUAAGUGUAAGAUAUUGUAUCCUGAUCAACUCCAUUUUAGUACAUUAUAGAAGUGCAAUCUUUAUUAAGAAGUACCUGAUGGCAUUUUGUAUUCUUGUUUUAGAUUUUUUUUUCAAAUUAUGUAAUUUUUUAUUAUGACAAUUGACAUAUAUUAAGUGAAAGAAAUAACAGAAGUAUUAUAAUAAAACAUUUUGAAAGAAAAAAGUUACACAAUUAGGCCAGUAGCCAUAAAAUAGCUUUUAGGCCUAUCUUAUAACACCAAGAGUUCUGAUCAGACUGUAGUGAGACAUUGAACAUUUCAUUAACAAAAAUAUUGGCACGAGCCGCAACAUAUUUUGGUUGUCACUUACAAGGAAUAUUGUAUUCAAACAACUAUGCACUGCGAUUCUGACUCACUAGGUGUUCAUACACUGCAGUUAACCCCUGAAGCUUUAAGCUACCAGGAAUUCCCGUAUUUUCUACGCACAAAAUUUACUUUGUGCGUUAUUGGAAUCACACUUCCAGUUUUCAUGUCUUUCCC
ensembl:lncRNA